UACGUAGGGGGCGAGCGUUGUCCGGAAUCAUUGGGCGUAAAGCGCGUGUAGGCGGCCCGGUAAGUCCGCUGUGAAAGUCCAGGGCUCAACCCUGGGAUGCCGGUGGAUACUGUCGGGCUCGAGUCCGGAAGAGGCGAGUGGAAUUCCUGGUGUAGCGGUGAAAUGCGCAGAGUAUCAGGAGGAACACCGAUGGCGAAGGCAGCUCGCUGGGACGGUACUGACGCUGAGCGCGAAGCGUGGGAGCAAACGG
rnacentral:rRNA from 1 species